rnacentral:lncRNA from 1 species
AUGGCUGCCAGCGUGGCAUACCUCCAUAGGCCCACGGGACACUCUAGGCCGACACCUUCAGUCUCUAUGGCCGCAGAGCCACUCUGGCACCUCUUCCCCCACCUCUCUAUGGUCUCACCCCCCUCCCCCCCCCCCAUAGAGCCACACACAGAACCCAUGGAAACGGAUUAAAGCACUUUAUUGGGGGGGGGGGGUGGGGGAUGGGGGAGGGGGGCUUCUGUGGGGCACACAGGGGUGCUAUGGGGCACACAGGGGCACUAGGGGGCACCCAUGGGUGCUAUGGGGACAACCAGGGGUCGCUAUGGGGUUUCAUCAACACACAAACAAUAGGACUGAUGGCCUUCCCCCAUUGACUCGACCCAACAUUGGCCAUGGGGCAGCUGUGGGGCACACAGGGAUGCUAUGGGGCACAGAGAGAUGCUAUGGGGCAGCUAUGGGGACAACCAGGGGUUGCUAUGGGGUUUCGUCAACACACAAACAAUAGGAUUGAUGGCCUUCCCCCAUUGGGUUGACCCAACGUUGGCCAUGGGGCAGCUAUGGGGCACACAGGGAUGCUAUGGGGCAGCUAUGGGGACAACCAGGGAUCGCUAUGGGGCUCUCCAACACAAAACAACGGGACUGAUGGCCUUCCCCCAUUGACUCAACCCAACGUUGGCCAUGGGGCAGCUGUGGGACACCUAUGGGGCACAGAGAGAUGCUAUAGGGCAGCUAUGGGGCAGCUAUGGGGACAACCAGGGAUCACUAUGGGGUUCCAUCAACACACAAACAAUAGGACUGAUGGUCUUCCCCCAUUGCCUCAACCCAACCCAAGACCCAACGAGGGCCAUGGGGCAGCUAUGGGGCAGCUAUGGGGACAAGCAGGGAUCCCUAUGGCCUUCCCCCAUUGCUGAUGGGCCUUCUCCAUUGCCUCAACCCAACCCAAGACCCCAUGGGGCAGCUAUGGGGACAAGCAGGGAUCCCUAUGGCCUUCCCCCAUUGCCUCAACCCAACCAAUCCCCCCCCCAAUCCCCCACCCCCCCCCACCCCCCACCCCCCAUCAUCCCCCACCCCCCCAUCAUCCCCCCAUCCCAACUUGUGGGUCGCUUCACGGGGGGGGUUAUGGGGUUAUGGGGGGGUUAUGGGUCCCCCUUCGUCCCCCCAUCCCAACUUGUGGGUCGUGUAAUGGGGGGGGGUUAUGGGGGGGUUAUGGGUCCCCCUUCAUCCCCCCCCCCAACUCGUGGGUCACUUAAGGGGGGGGUUAUGGGUUGCUUCACGGGGG